UGCCAGCCGCCGCGGUAAUACGGAGGGGGUUAGCGUUGUUCGGAAUUACUGGGCGUAAAGCGUACGUAGGCGGAUUAAUAAGUUAGAGGUGAAAUCCCAGGGCUCAACCCUGGAACUGCCUUUAAAACUGUUAGUCUUGAGAUCGAGAGAGGUGAGUGGAAUUCCAAGUGUAGAGGUGAAAUUCGUAGAUAUUUGGAGGAACACCAGUGGCGAAGGCGGCUCACUGGAUCAUUACUGACGCUGAGGAACGAAAGCAUGGGUAGCGAAGACGAUUAGAUA
rnacentral:rRNA from 1 species